GACGAACGCUGGCGGCGUGCUUAACACAUGCAAGUCGAACGGAAAGGCCCUGCUUUUGUGGGGUGCUCGAGUGGCGAACGGGUGAGUAACACGUGAGUAACCUGCCCUUGACUUUGGGAUAACUUCAGGAAACUGGGGCUAAUACCGGAUAGGAGCUCCUGCUGCAUGGUGGGGUUUGGUAAGUUUCGGCGGUUGGGGAUGGACUCGCGGCUUAUCAGCUUGUUGGUGGGGUAGUGGCUUACCAAGGCUUUGACGGGUAGCCGGCCUGAGAGGGUGACCGGCCACAUUGGGACUGAGAUACGGCCCAGACUCCUACGGGAGGCAGCAGUGGGGAAUAUUGCACAAUGGGCGGAAGCCUGAUGCAGCAACGCCGCGUGCGGGAUGACGGCCUUCGGGUUGUAAACCGCUUUCGCCUGUGACGAAGCGUGAGUGACGGUAAUGGGUAAAGAAGCACCGGCUAACUACGUG
rnacentral:rRNA from 1 species